UACGUAGGGUGCGAGCGUUGUCCGGAAUCAUUGGGCGUAAAGCGCGCGUAGGCGGUCCGGUAAGUCCGCUGUGAAAGUCGGGGGCUCAACCCUUGAAUGCCGGUGGAUACUGUCGGGCUAGAGUCCGGAAGAGGCGAGUGGAAUUCCUGGUGUAGCGGUGAAAUGCGCAGAUAUCAGGAGGAACACCGAUGGCGAAGGCAGCUCGCUGGGACGGUACUGACGCUGAGGCGCGAAAGCGUGGGGAGCAAACAGG
rnacentral:rRNA from 1 species